rnacentral:rRNA from 1 species
UGAGGAAUAUUGGACAAUGGGCGCAAGCCUGAUCCAGCCAUGCCGCGUGCAGGAAGAAGCAUCUAUGGUGUGUAAACUGCUUUUGUACGGGAAGAAACACUCCUUCGUGAAGGAGCUUGUCGGUACCGUAAGAAUAAGGAUCGGCUAACUCCGUGCCAGCAGCCGCGGUAAUACGGAGGAUCCAAGCGUUAUCCGGAAUCAUUGGGUUUAAAGGGUCCGUAGGCGGUUUAGUAAGUCAGUGGUGAAAGCCCAUCGCUCAACGAUGGGACGGCCAUUGAUACUGCUAGACUUGAAUUAUUAGGAAGUAGCUAGAAUAUGUAGUGUAGCGGUGAAAUGCUUAGGUAAUACAUGGAAUACCAAUUGCGAAGGCAAGUUACUACUAAUGGAUUGACGCUGAUGGACGAAAGCGUGGGGAGCGAACA